AGUUGUUGCACGCCGGAGCAUGUCCUCUCACAUUAAAUCCAUCUCACACCUUUUGUGCACCACCGCGUGGGCACCCUUUGNGAUCGAACCGAUCUUGGAGGGGGCCUGCGUUUUCACACAAACCCCCCCUUUUAAAAAGUGUAGAAUGACCCCACUUUGCGGUGACACGCAAUCAAUACAACUUUCAACAACGGAUCUCUUGGCUCUCGCAUCGAUGAAGAACGCUACGCGAAAUGCGAUACGUAAUGUGAAUUGCAGAAUUCAGUGAAUCAUCGAAUCUUUGAACGCACCUUGCGCCCCUUGGUAUUCCGAGGGGCACACCCGUUUGAGUGUCGUGAAAACCCUCAACCUUCUCGGUUUUGCCGAAGGAGGCUUGGACUUUGGAGGCCUUUGCUGGCGUCCUUCUUUUGAAGGCCCAGCUCCUCUUAAAUGAAUUAGCGNGGUCCUCUUUGCCGAUCCUCGACGUGUGAUAAGAUGNUUCCAUGUCUUGCUUUCCGGCUCUGUUGCUUUUGGGACCCGCUUCCAACUGUCUCGUCUCGAGACGACGUUCGAGGGUGUCUCCCUUCUCGGGAAAUGCUCUUGACCUCACAAACCCUUGACCUCAAAUCGGGNGAGACUACCCGCUGAACUUAAGCAUAUCAUA
rnacentral:rRNA from 1 species